rnacentral:rRNA from 1 species
UGGGAACCUACCUCUUAGCAGGGGAUAACAUUGGAACAAUGCUAAUACCGUAUAAUAAUUAAAACCGCAUGGUUUAGUUUAAAGAUGGUCUUGCUAUCACUAAGAGAUGGUCCCGCGGUGUAUUAGUUAGUUGGUGAGGUAAUGGCUCACCAAGACAAUGAUACAUAGCCGAGUUGAGAGACUGACCGGCCACAAUGGGACUGAGACACGGCCCAUACUCCUACGGGAGGCAGCAGUAGGGAAUCUUCCACAAUGGACGAAAGUCUGAUGGAGCAACGCCGCGUGUGUGAUGAAGGGUUUCGGCUCGUAAAACACUGUUGUAAGAGAAGAAUGACAUUGAGAGUAACUGUUCAAUGUGUGACGGUAUCUUACCAGAAAGGAACGGCUAAAUACGUG